AGUCUGUUUUAUUUCCAGGCUUUUGUCUGCAUGAACAUUCUUUUUCCAAAACCUCAGAGAGCCGUGUGUCCUGUCCAGAGGAAGCUUUCGUUUCAGUUCAGUUCAGUUCAGGUCAUUCCAGUUCAGAUCAGUUCAGUUUAAUUCAGUUU